rnacentral:rRNA from 1 species
CCCGCCCGCUGGCGGCAUGCCUAACACAUGCAAGUCGAACGAGACCUUCGGGUCUAGUGGCGCACGGGUGCGUAACGCGUGGGAACCUUCCCUUAGGUUCGGAAUAACUCCCCGAAAGGGGUGCUAAUAACGGAUAAUGUCUUCGGACCAAAGAUUUAUCGCCUUUGGAUGGGCCCGCGUUGGAUUAGAUAGUUGGUAGGGUAAAAGCCUACCAAGGCGACGAUCCAUAGCUGGUCUGAGAGGAUGAUCAGCCACACUGGGACUGAGACACGGCCCAGACUCCUACGGGAGGCAGCAGUGGGGAAUAUUGGACAAUGGGCGAAAGCCUGAUCCAGCAAUGCCGCGUGAGUGAUGAAGGCCUUAGGGUUGUAAAGCUCUUUUACCCGGGAUGAUAAUGACAGUGCCGGGAGAAUAAGCUCCGGCUGACUCCGUG